rnacentral:rRNA from 1 species
UGAGCAAUCUGCCCUUCUCAUCGGAAUAAGCGUUGGAACGACGUCUAAUGCCGAAUACGACCUCCUUUCGCAUGAUCGGAGGUGGAAAGCUCCGGCGGAGAAGGAUGAGCUCGCGGCCUAUCAGCUAGUUGGUGUGGGUAAUGGCCCACCAAGGCGACGACGGGUAGCCGGCCUGAGAGGGUGACCGGCCACACUGGGACUGAGACACGGCCCAGACUCCUACGGGAGCAG